GAACUGAAAGGAAGAGGAACCACCUUUCCCUGUCUUUGCCUUUCCUUUUACAUCAUCAUUAGUGGUUAACUACAGGGAAGUGAUGACUAAGAAAGGGCUUAGAAAACUUCAGCCUGCACUGAAAGUAUUUACAUAUGAAGAAUAUAUACUGCAAACUAACCCAAGCUUUAUCCUUGGUAUUUUCUCCAAAGAACUCAAAUACUCCAACUAAAGGUAUUGAAGAUAACAACAAGAGAGUCACAUGAGGGGCUCAGCUGGUUUAACUUCUGGCUCAGGUCAUGAUCCCAAGGACCUGGAAUUGAGUCUUGUGUUGUGCUCUCUCUCUUGCUCUCUGUCUCUUAAAUAAAUAAAUAAAUAAAAUCAAAUAAAGACAGAAACAAGAACUGUUGUG